GACUUGUCAACCGCAUCAAUUGCGAUGUGGCUUGGAUGUGGGGGUUCUUUGCAGGCUUUCAUGAGGUCAGCUCCCCUGAAAUGCAUUAGUGGUAUCUGAGCAGAACUACUACCAUCAGGUGUGAUAAAUUAUCUAUGCCUUUGGGUAUGCUGCAUGAACAGAUUGUGCUGCUGAUAGAGAUAUGGGAAAUUGUUUGACGA
rnacentral:misc_RNA from 1 species